UUAUCAAAAAAUAAGACUGAAUAAAUUAGUGCAUUUAUAAAUGGUUCAAAACAUUUGUGUACAUGAAAUGGCAAGUUAUUAAGAGAAAAAUGUUUAAACGAGAUUUUGUAAGCAAUUCUAUCCUUUGUUAAUUCAGAGACUGAUCAUGAGUCUAACAAAGUUUGUGUUGUUUUCAUUUAUUGUUAUGUCAAACGGAGAAGCAAAUUCAAAGCUCAUUUAAUUUAGCAAAACAUAUAUUUUUGUGAGUAACAUUAGCUUUCUAUACGCCGAUUGAAAUAUUUUUUUCUUAUAAAAUAAUCUGGUUACAUGGUAUCAUUUCAAGAAAACAGAGUGACCGUCUUUGUUUACAGGAUUCAACACCUUUAUUCCAAUUUCCAAAGUCUAUAAUUAUGGCAUUAAUUUUACACAUUAAAACCUAGAUUGUUCUUGCAUUACAACGCUUCAUGGGUUGUAAAACGAAUAUAUUUGUCCAAAAAAAAGAACAGAAAAAAUGCACACAUAAGUUUUUGUAGCUGAAUUAAUAGCGGGUAAAAUUGCUUCAAAAUCAAUGUGAGCGCACAUUAUGAAAAAACUGCAAGUGUAAGAAGUUGAUGAGAUAUUGUGUUAUAUGAUCUUUCUAAUAAAAACCAGCUCUAAAUAACGCCCCGCUUUUAGAUCUGACCGUGACCAAAUACGAAAUCAUUUAUGGUGAGCUUUCACACAGCCAAUACUCGGCGAGCUUUCAUAAUUUUGAAACCUGUGAAAACCAAUACUGAGCACGUAAUUUUCACGAUUUUGAGGAAAAAAACAGGGCGUUGUUCAUAUAGCCGACAGGUUAAUCUGGCAAAAACAAUCUUGCCCACUAAAAAUGACUCUUUUAUUUCAAGUUGAUUUGAUACAAAUAACUUCAAACAUUUUUUUUCAAAAAUAACAAUUUGUUGAACUUCAACGAAAAACUGAAUUUUGAUACCUGUUCUAAUUCCUAUGUAAAACCAGUUUUGAUUGCAUGGCUAAAUGUAGCUUUUUCGAGAUAUCCGAAUUAUAAAGGGGGGUAUUUUAUAAGGUCGUCAUCAGAUUUAUACAUGUAUAAAAGAAAUUAGAAGAUCUGAACUUUAGUCAGAUUGGUGAAAUUAAGUUCAUAACCCUAUAAAUGUGAUGCCUUUUGAAAAGCAUGCUAUGGCAUGUUUAAAAAUUUGUUCUCCAUAAUAAAAUACGUGCAAUCGUAAAAUGUCAAGCUGUGUUAUAUGUUUAUUCCAUUAAUAACAUUUCAUAUAUUCACUAAAUAUUCACUAAAAUGUUAAGUUAUAAUAUUAAGGGACAAAUCAAUGGCAAUCACUAAUAUCUAGUUUUACCUAAUGGCUUCUGUUGAUACUUAUUCAUUAUUUACAACUGUUUACUUCAACUGAAGCACUGUAUUCCUGUGCAUGCAAAUGUAGCAGGGUCAUAUUUUUGUAUGACAGUAUUAUGAAACGUGUCAGCUCUUUCUGGUGUUUUAUUUCUUUAGGUUUUGAUAAGUUCUUGCUGGUCUUUUAUUUUCUUGUUUUCUGUGUGAUCUCGCGAGAGUUUGGCGGGAAUGUUGUGCAGGUUUUGAAAAGGGUUUGCAUGGUUGAUGUAGAGAACAUUCUGUUAAUUUGAACUUGUUUAUAUGAUUUACAUUUGGUUGAGCUAUCCAAGUGUUUGUGAGAAGUAUUUAAGUUAACCAUCACGUGAGACAGGAUGUAUGUGAUGUGAAGUGAAGUGCUAUAGAUUCUAAUUUGUCAUUGGUUUAUUGUGGAAUAGGCUUAAGAUCCCUUAGAUCUUGCCUUGAUUAAAGUUGACUUCAAUAAAGAACUUUGAAGAUAUAUUGUAUAUUCAGUUUGACUGUAUAUGUAAACAAUAAAUGAAUUACCACAUCUACCCUGUGUUAUAACACCAUGUGUUACAAUGGAGCCCCCAAGUGAUCUUUGAAGAAGAAAACCAGAUCGAACUCAAGGAUGUGGGUGUGAUAUUGUAUGCUGAAUGAAAGAAUUUCACUUGGUACACUGAUAGGUGAAGGGAACUAACCAUUAACCAUCACGUGAGACAGGAUGUAUGUGAUGUGAAGUGAAGUGAUAUAGAUUCUAAUUUGUCAUUGGUUUAUUGUGGAAUAGGCUUAAGAUCCCUUAGAUCUGUAAGUAUAAGAGUAUGUUGGUAUUUAUACCUUUUGUAAUAAUGUAAACAUUAUACGUGUAAUGUUUAACUGGUAAGACAUAAGAGUACAAAUGCUUUAAUCAUUUAGUGAUCUUAAUGUCUAUAGUAAUAAGAUGUUUAUUAAAUGCUAUGUUUAUUGAUUGUAUAUAUUAUAUGUGCAAACAUUGUUAUUAUUAUGUCAUUUCAGUGCCUUGAUUAAAGUUGACUUCAAUAGAGAACUUAGAAGAUAUAUUGUAUAUUCAGUUUGACUGUAUAUGUAAACAAUAAAUGAAUUACCACAUGAUGAAAUGAACUGUUGACCGGUCAACAUUUUUAAAAAAUGUUUCAUUGCUGUCACCGGGUAUUUCCGUUAACGCCGUCGGUCACUAUUCGGUAGUUGAACGUCGCUCAGCUUUAUAGUGGUUUUAGAAAACCAAACGUUGGUGGCAUUUAGUUGUAAGCGGUUCACAAUUACACAACGGUUGUAAAAAUGUUAUUGGUGUGUUGUUGCAACAUAUAAAAUAGUUUGAUUGCAAAGCAUCAGAGUAUAAAAACAAUUAUUUCAUGGGUCUUUGUGGAACAGUCAAACUGUUGUCCCGAGGUAUCAGGGAUGAUAUUUGGAACUGUUACAAUCGACAAAUACUUAUACUGUUAGUAUAAUUAUGAAUAAUUAAA